AGAUUGAACGCUGGCGGCAGGCCUAACACAUGCAAGUCGAGCGGCAGCACGGGUACUUGUACCUGGUGGCGAGCGGCGGACGGGUGAGUAAUGCCUAGGAAUCUGCCUGAUAGGUGGGGAUAACGUUCGGAAACGGACGCUAAUACCGCAUACGUCCUACGGGAGAAAGUGGGGAUCUUCGGACCUCACGCUAUCAGAUGAGCCUAGGUCGGAUUAGCUAGUUGGUAGGUAAAGCCUACGAGCUACGAUCCGUAACUGGUCUAGAGAGGAUGAUCAGUCACACGUGGAACUGACGACACGGUCCAGACCUCCG
rnacentral:rRNA from 1 species